UGGGUCGUGAGUUAGGGAGGAAGGUGGCGUCUCUCAGGAAAGGAUCUUGGUGUGGAUUGGUGAUGGAAUUGCACGGUACACUUCCUUCUCUGCCAUGAAGUCUCGAGGGGAGCCCGUCGAAGAUAAAAUAUAAAAAAAAACUCACGAAGAGGAGGUCAUGUUCUACAGGAAUGGAAUGGUAGGAGACUGGAAAAAACAUUUUUCACCUGAGCUGCAAGAAAUGGUGGACCAGUGGAUUCAAAAGAACCUAAAUGAUAGUGAUUUGAGUCCAGUUUGGUGCUUAGGUUCAGCAAUGUCACUCCUAAGUUGAAAUGAAAGCCACCUCAUGAGAGUUACAAUUUAUACCUAAGUCGAUUGUCUUUUGUUUGUCAUAUCGGGGUCCAGAUAUUUCUUCGGUAAAACUAUAAAUCUUUCAUACUGUUAAAGUUGUUUUCUUUCUAGGUGUUCAUAUACUAGAGGAUCAUUUUUAUUGCCUUAGUGUGUUCUCUAAGACAUUCGCUUCAUUUUAUAAGCCAUUCACGUCUUACUAGGCUUUCCUCGCACCGUUGAUAGUAAUUUUGCCCAUGGUUUCCAUGUGUUGUUUGGGUUGGGUUUUUUGAAGA